rnacentral:rRNA from 1 species
CCUACGGGAGGCAGCAGUGAGGAAUAUUGGUCAAUGGACGAGAGUCUGAACCAGCCAUGCAGCGUGAAGGAUGACUGCCCUAUGGGUUGUAAACUUCUUUUAUAUGGGAAUAAAAUGUUACACGUGUGGGCUUUUGAAUGUACUAUACGAAUAAGGAUCGGCUAACUCCGUGCCAGCAGCCGCGGUAAUACGGAGGAUCCGAGCGUUAUCCGGAUUUAUUGGGUUUAAAGGGAGCGUAGGUGGAUUGUUAAGUCAGUUGUGAAAUUUUCGGGCUCAACCGUAAAAUUGCAUUUGAUACUGUUGAUCUUGAGAACAGUAGAGGUGGGCGGAAUUCAUGGUGUAGCGGUGAAAUGCUUAGAGAUCACGAAGAACACCGAUUGCGAAGGCAGUUCACUGGACUACAACUGACGCUGAGGCGCGAAAGUGUGGGUAGCAAACAGGAUUAGAUACCCCAGUAGUC